ensembl:lncRNA
CAGGAGGGUUGGUGAGGCCCCAUGUUGAUCUGAAGCAGACAGCUGUGUAUGUAUGUGUGUGUGUUUGUGUGUAGGUGUGUGUGUGUGUGUCUGUCUUCAUCCACGCACUGAAUUUUACUGGAUCUGAAAGGGUGUCACUGGUGUGUGUUCACUGAACAAAUUUACAUAUCUCUCUGCUGCUCGCUAUCAUGGACUGACUGAAGAGAACAUUCUAGAUGAUUUCAAGAUGCUUUCUAGACAGUUUUGUAUUUGUUGGUUUGUUUUUAUUCAUGUUGAGAAGGUUGGGGAAGACUGAGAUGGAGCCAUCCAGACCCCUUCAGACUCUGGCCCUGAUUGGCUGUCUCCUGGGCAGCGAGGGGCCCGCCCCCUGUCUGGGUGAGCUAGUGGGUCAUUUUCCAAGCCUCCUCUUCUUUUGUCACUAUGUUACGCUGAUCACAUUGAUCAGCCUGUAGAAAAAAAAAAGAAUCAGACUUUUGUGAACUGAGUUAGAAAACCAUGUAGUUACAGUGUUCUCCACUGAAUCUCUGUGACAUCACUUCCUGUGUGGUUUUGUUUCUGGUUUGAUUCUUGUCUUUGUUCGAUGUGAAGGCUGCAGGAUGCAGACCCUAUGGCUCACAGUCCUCAGCCAAGAAGACAACUACAAAAACACAACAAACACAACAAACAAACACACACAAUGUUGCACAAAAAUGUACAAGCAUAAGAGUAAUUGUAGUAGGUAGCUCUGCUACUUUGUUUGAUGUGUGAUGUCAAGUGAGAAAUGUACAUUUAGCUGGUGAAAAUCCUCUCAUUCUCCUCCUUACUACUUUUACCUGUACGUCUUUUAAAAAGACAAUUGGUGGAGUAUGUAUUGGUUGUUAUUUUUUCUUUUUUUUUCUUUUUUUUCUUUUUUUUUUCUUUUUCUUUUUUUGGUAUUUUUAAUACAAUAAUUGUACAUAUUGGUUAUAUUUUUGUUGAAUUGUAGAAAUUGUACUAUGUUUAUGCCUCAACGUCCAGUUUAUAUGAAGCUGGAGGAUGAAUAAAUACAACGAACGGAAACGAGUCCUAGGUUUAAAAAAAAUGCACUUAUUCUCUCUUCAGAUCUUCUUUCCCCUUUUGAAUACUGUCUCGUCGAUCGACGUCCGGCACCAUCUAGUGUUUGCACAAGAUAAGACAUGGAAGUAACUUGAAAUGUGUAACUCUCGUACUUUUUUUAACUGGCAAGUGUAUGUCAGAACAAAUAAAAAAGACAACCGUC